GAAGUUAUCUCAUGAUACUUUACAUAUUAUUUAAGAGAUCUAAGAGAAAUUUAGUCUAAUGUCUGUUAAAUCAUUUUGAAUCAUUUUCUCAAACAUCAAUAAAACUCUGUGCAUCAGUUAAAAAUGAUAAAGGUAUAUGGUACCUUACUCUGUUUGGUGAAAUAAUCAGAUUUUAAAAAUGUAUAUGUUUGUCCAAGUUUAAGUUUUAUUGAAUAAUAUUUAAGCUCUUUACAAAGAAAUAGGCUAAACAAAAGUGCCUAGAUCUGUAGUAUCUAUAAAAUACAGACACAUAAACAGACCUGUAAGACCACAGUUAGCAGAUGAUACAGUAAAACUACUACACUACUCAAUUACUCAAAUAUGGGAUUUGA